UGGGGAAUAUUGGACAAUGGGCGCAAGCCUGAUCCAGCCAUACCGCGUGGGUGAAGAAGGCCUUCGGGUUGUAAAGCCCUUUUGUUGGGAAAGAAAUCCAGCUGGUUAAUACCCGGUUGGGAUGACGGUACCCAAAGAAUAAGCACCGGCUAACUUCGUGCCAGCAGCCGCGGUAAUACGAAGGGUGCAAGCGUUACUCGGAAUUACUGGGCGUAAAGCGUGCGUAGGUGGUCGUUUAAGUCUGUUGUGAAAGCCCUGGGCUCAACCUGGGAACUGCAGUGGAAACUGGACGACUAGAGUGUGGUAGAGGGUAGCGGAAUUCCUGGUGUAGCAGUGAAAUGCGUAGAGAUCAGGAGGAACAUCCAUGGCGAAGGCAGCUACCUGGACCAACACUGACACUGAGGCACGAAAGCGUGGGGAGCAAACAGGAUUAGAUACCCUGGUAGUCCACGCCCUAAACGAUGCGAACUGGAUGUUGGGUGCAAUUUUGGCACGCAGUAUCGAAGCUAACGCGUUAAGUUCGCCGCCUGGGGAGUACGGUCGCAAGACUGAAACUCAAAUGAAUUGAC
rnacentral:rRNA from 1 species